CGUCGUUUGAGGCACAUAGUCUUCAGCAUUUGUGAUGACAGCACUAGCAGACUGACACAGAUGAUGGAGAAUGUGGCUCCAGCAACUUUGGAGGCACUGAGGGGUCAGCCAGCUCCUAAAGGAGACCACUGGAGAGGAACCAGGAGAGCAGAGACCCUUCCUCAUGGCCUGGUGGACUUGUGGGAUGGGACAUCUGGCCACAUACAAAUGACACUUAAGGCCUGGCCCGGAGGAAAGUGCUUGUGAGGGCCCAUCAGUAAGACGGGACAAGAAGAAACUGAACCCUCCUCUUGUGCUCAAGAAAAAAGAGAAGCCAGAAGAACAGACCUGAGAGGCCAGACUGAACAAGACCAGGGGACUUCUGAUCCUGUGUAGCCUGAGGCUCCUCAGGACCAGUGUGAGUGAAACCUGCCUCGCACUCAGUGCUUUGGAUCACUUGAUAGUACAAUCAGCCAAGGGGUCAGACUGGAUACCCUUAGAAACAACCUUUCUAAGGUGAGUCACUCAGGAAAGAUGAAAGCUGAGGAGAAAGAAGAGGGGAAAGAGGGAGAGGAAAAAGAAAGGAAAGCAGAAGUGGGAUCCCAGGGAAAGAUGCAGGAUACCCAUCUUCACAGUUGAUCCCUCCUCGGAGUUCCUGACCAGGAUGAUGUAAAGAGCGGGACUGCGCGGUGCGCUUGGUGAAGAGACUGUUACACUUUGACACAAACGUCUCUCUAUAAAUAAAUACAUGAACACCUAAAGUAGGAAACAGGAAUAAUUAAAAGUGUUGCCCAUA
rnacentral:lncRNA from 1 species